AAAAGGGCGCACGAACAGGGCAAACCGAGGAGGGGGAACGAAAUCGAGUGGGAAGGGAAAAGGGGUGGAAGAUGGCGGCGACGGGGAUGCAUGCGUGGGCACAGCCUAAGGGGCGGGGAAGAUCCGGUGACCGGAGUAACAGCGGGAAGUGUAGGGCCACAAGAUCAAAGAGCUUUGGCGACGGAGGCAAAGGCGUGGCUCUG
rnacentral:lncRNA from 1 species